UACGUAGGGUGCGAGCGUUAAUCGGAAUUACUGGGCGUAAAGCGUGCGCAGGCGGUUCGUUGUGUCGGUGGUGAAAGCCCCGGGCUUAACCUGGGAAUGGCCAUGGAAACUGGCGAACUGGAGUGUGGCAGAGGGGGGUGGAAUUCCGCGUGUAGCAGUGAAAUGCGUAGAGAUGCGGAGGAACACCGAUGGCGAAGGCAGCCCCCUGGGCUAGCACUGACGCUCAGGCACGAAAGCGUGGGGAGCAAACAAG
rnacentral:rRNA from 1 species